AAAUUGAAGAGUUUGAUCAUGGCUCAGAUUGAACGCUGGCGGCAGGCCUAACACAUGCAAGUCGAACGGUAACAGGAAACAGCUUGCUGUUUCGCUGACGAGUGGCGGACGGGUGAGUAAUGUCUGGGAAACUGCCCGAUGGAGGGGGAUAACUACUGGAAACGGUAGCUAAUACCGCAUAACGUCGCAAGACCAAAGAGGGGGACCUUCGGGCCUCUUGCUAUCGGAUGUGCCCAGAUGGGAUUAGCUAGUAGGUGGGGUAACGGCUCACCUAGGCGACGAUCCCUAGCUGGUCUGAGAGGAUGACCAGCCACACUGGAACUGAGACACGGUCCAGACUCCUACGGGAGGCAGCAGUGGGGAAUAUUGCACAAUGGGCGCAAGCCUGAUGCAGCCAUGCCGCGUGUAUGAAGAAGGCCUUCGGGUUGUAAAGUACUUUCAGCGGGGAGGAAAGGAGUAAAGUUAAUACCUUUGCUCAUUGACGUUACCCGCAGAAGAAGCACCGGCUAACUCCGUGCCAGCAGCCGCGGUAAUACGGAGGGUGCAAGCGUUAAUCGGAAUUACUGGGCGUAAAGCGCACGCAGGCGGUUUGUUAAGUCAGAUGUGAAAUCCCCGGGCUCAACCUGGGAACUGCAUCUGAUACUGGCAAGCUUGAGUCUCGUAGAGGGGGGUAGAAUUCCAGGUGUAGCGGUGAAAUGCGUA
rnacentral:rRNA from 1 species